rnacentral:rRNA from 1 species
CCUACGGGCGGCUGCAGUGGGGAAUAUUGGACAAUGGGGGCAACCCUGAUCCAGCCAUGCCGCGUGUGUGAAGAAGGCCCUCGGGUUGUAAAGCACUUUCAGUGAGGAAGAACGCCUGGUGGUUAAUACCCAUCAGGAAAGACAUCACUCACAGAAGAAGCACCGGCUAACUCCGUGCCAGCAGCCGCGGUAAUACGGAGGGUGCGAGCGUUAAUCGGAAUUAUUGGGCGUAAAGCGCGCGUAGGUGGCUUGAUAAGCCGGUUGUGAAAGCCCCGGGCUCAACCUGGGAACGGCAUCCGGAACUGUCAAGCUAGAGUGCAGGAGAGGAAGGUAGAAUUCCCGGUGUAGCGGUGAAAUGCGUAGAGAUCGGGAGGAAUACCAGUGGCGAAGGCGGCCUUCUGGACUGACACUGACACUGAGGUGCGAAAGCGUGGGUAGCAAACAGGAUUAGAUACCCCAGUAGUC